CCCUUAGAUGUUCUGGGCAGCACGCGCGCUACAAUGGUCUUCGCAAACGGAUGCAUUCUCGAAGGAGAAUGCCAAUCUUGGAAUCUAUGCCUUGGUCGGGACAGUUGCUUGCAAUUUUUCGACUCGAACCAGGAUUUCCUUGUAAUCGUGAUUCAUCACAUCACGAUGAAUACGUCCCUGCCCUUUGUACACACCGCCCGUCGCUCCUACCGAUCGAAGAGUUAGGUGAAUUGUUUUGAUCGAUAAGAUUUGACUAUGGUCAACUCUCGUUGUGAAAUUCUGUGAAUCUGACUGUUUAGAGGAAGGAAAAGUCGUAACA
rnacentral:rRNA from 1 species